GACGAACGCUGGCGGCGUGCUUAACACAUGCAAGUCGAACGGGAUGGCGAACGGGUGAGUAACACGUGAGUAACCUGCCUUUUUCUUUGGGAUAACGCUCAGAAAUGGGUGCUCAUACUGGAUGGAGUGAGAUGGGCUCGCGGCUUAUCAGCUUGUUGGUGGGGUGAUUGCUUACCAAGGCUGUGACGGGUAGCCGGCCUGAGAGGGUGGGCGGUCACAUUGGGACUGAGGUACGGCCCAGACUACUACGGGAGGCAGCAGUGGGGAAUUUUGCACAAUGGGGGGACCCUUGAUGCAGCGACGCCGCGUGGGGGAUGGAGGCUUUCGGGUUGUGAACCUCUUUAACUCGUGUGCGUGUGGCGCGUCCAGAAGCGCCGGCUAACUACGUGCCAGCACCCGCGGUACUUC
rnacentral:rRNA from 1 species